GAACCAGGACUGAACCAGGUCUAAACCAGGACUGAACCAGGUCUAAACCAGGACUGAACCAGGACUGAACCAGGUCUAAACCAGGACUAAACCAGGACUAAACCAGGACUGAACCAGGUCUAAACCAGGACUGAACCAGGACUAAACCAGGUCUAAACCAGGACUAAACCAGGACUAAACCAGGACUAAACCAGGUCUAAACCAGGUCUAAACCGGGUCUAAACCGGGACUAAACCGGGACUCAACCGGGACUGAACCGGGACUGAACCGGGACUGAACCGGGACUGAACCGGGACUGAACCGGGACUAAACCGGGACUAAACCAGGACUAAACCAGGACUAAACCAGGACUGAACCAGGACUGAACCAGGACUGAACCAGGACUGAACCAGGUCUAAACCAGGACUGAACCAGGACUGAACCAGGACUGAACCAGGACUGAACCAGGUCUAAACCAGGACUGAACCAGGACUGAACCAGGUCUAAACCAGGACUAAACCAGGACUAAACCAGGACUGAACCAGGACUGAACCAGGUCUAAACCAGGACUGAACCAGGUCUAAACCAGGACUAAACCAGGACUAAACCAGGACUGAACCAGGUCUAAACCAGGACUGAACCAGGACUAAACCAGGACUAAACCAGGACUAAACCAGGACUAAACCAGGACUAAACCAGGUCUAAACCAGGUCUAAACCAGGUCUAAACCAGGACUGAACCAGGACUGAACCAGGACUGAACCAGGACUGAACCAGGACUAAACCAGGACUAAACCAGGACUAAACCAGGACUAAACCAGGUCUAAACCAGGACUAAACCAGGACAAAACCAGGACUAAACCAGGACUAAACCAGGUCUAAACCAGGACUGAACCAGGACUGAACCAGGACUGAACCAGGACUGAACCAGGUCUAAACCAGGACUGAACCAGGACUGAACCAGGUCUAAACCAGGUCUAAACCAGGACUAAACCAGGACUAAACCAGGUCUAAACCAGGUCUAAACCAGGUCUAAACCAGGACUGAACCAGGACUGAACCAGGACUGAACCAGGACUGAACCAGGACUGAACCAGGACUGAACCAGGUCUAAACCAGGACUGAACCAGGACUGAACCAGGUCUAAACCAGGUCUAAACCAGGACUAAACCAGGACUAAACCAGGUCUAAACCAGGUCUAAACCAGGGCUGAACCAGGACUGAACCAGGACUGAACCAGGACUGAACCAGGACUGAACCAGGACUGAACCAGGACUAAACCAGGACUAAACCAGGUCUAAACCAGGUCUAAACCAGG
ensembl:lncRNA